ACACGAAGAGCACCACACAGAGCGGCAGGUAGAAGGCGCCUACGGUGGAGAACACUGCGUAGGAAGGCUCGCGGCUUACCUGGCACUCCUCGCUGCCCUCAGAGUACGUCUCUCCCCAGCCAAAAAGCAGCGGGGCCAGAGAGAUGACAGCGGAGAGCGCCCAGGUGAGCGCGAUCAUGACGUUGGAGAUGCACUUGCGGGUGCGGAGCGUGUAUUCCAGGUGGCGCGUGAUGGACCAGUAGCGGUCCAGGGCUAUGGCCGUCACGUUCCAGAUGCUGGCCGUGCAGCAGAGGACGUCGCACGCGAUCCACAGCUGGCACAGCCGCCGACCCAGCUGCCAGCGGCGCCCAGACAGCUCGUGCACCAGGCUCAGUGGCAUAACCAGUGCAGCCACCAGGACGUCCGAGAUGGCCAUGGACGCCACCAGGUUGUGGGGCACGCGGUGGAAGGUGCGUACGCGGAGGAUGGUCGCCAGCACCAGCAGGUUCCAGGCGAACGUCGCCGCCACCAGAAAGCCCAGCAAGAGUAAAACCAGUAUCAGGCGAAUGCACUGAGAAAAUUGAGAAAAUAGAAAGUCCUCCACUGGAACCCCGAAGAUGGGACAUCACUAAAUACAGGAUUAUCCACAGGGCAGGGCUGUUUCAAACGCCGCUUAAAAACAGCUGGCGGUGACUACCUGCAUGCAGUGCAGCUGUGCAUGGCCCCAGUCAAGAAGCAAGCUUGUGCUUGUUUAGGGCGUAUCACCUUCUUGAGGCCAUGGAACUAAUGCGAAUGAGAUGUAAACUAUGAUUCCUCUUAUUUGAAAAAAGUUCUGCUUCUAGUCUCAGGGUCUGUGACCUGGAGGAAUGGAUGAGCUGGGUUGCCCACAGGCAGGCCUCAAUGGAUCUCUCUAUACAAAUCUCGAAAGGCAUUGUGGGCUGGUGAUUGUAUUUCCCACUGAUUCCCCAGGCCACAGCUGUCUGUAUUGACAGCUAAGUGAGCAGCAGAACAGUUAAUAGGAACAAAGCCAAGGAUAACUGAGGAUAAUUUGUGAAAAAUAGAGUGUCAUAAAGUUAGGGUCUGAAUACAAUAUUUCCACAAAGAGGAGAUCCAAUGGAGCAUUUCCAGAGGGGACAAACCUUGUUCAGAAAGUCUGGUUUAUCUCUUAAAAAUACACAAAUAAAAAAUCAUAAUAUUUCAGCUUCAUCUUAAAGCAUAGCCCAAUUUAAUUUGGAAAACACUGAAAAGGAAAAAAUCUGAAAAGGUAUAAAACUCCCAUCUGCCAUAUGGUACCUCUGAAAUGGCAGUACUGGGAAAUAUAAUUUCCUGGGUUGUCACCUGAUAUGGGUUAAAUUGUGUCUCUCCCUCCCCCUCCCUUACCCCCUGCCAAAUUUAUAUAUGGAAGUCCUAACCCUUAGAACCUCACAGUGUGACUAUAUUUAGAAAUAAGGUCUUUAAAGGGAUGAUUAGGUUAAAAUGAGGCCAUAGGAUAGGGUCUCAUUCAAUCUGACUGAUACUCUUACGAAAACAGGAAAUUUAGACAUACAAAGAGAUACUAAGGAUGUGUGUGCACAGGACAGACCCUGUGAGAAUAAAGUGAGAAGGUGGCCAUCUACAAGGCAAGGAGAGAGAUAUUAGAAGACACCAGAAUUGGAAGAUUAGAAGAUAUCAGGAUUGGAUUUCCAGCUGCCAGAACUAGGAACAAAUAAAUUUCUAGUGUGAGCCACUCAGUCUGUGGUACUUUUUUAUGGCAGCCCUAGCAAGCUAAUAUACCAUGUGACAAAAGAUACUAGCAAAAGAUACAACCACAUAACUGAACGAGGUGCUACACUGGGGGCAGAAGGAAUUAUAGACAUAAACACAUCAUGGGACAUCUACUAAAACCUUUCCUUUACAAAAUGUAGUUUGCAGCCAUCUAGCAAUCAUUCGAGUGCAGAAUCAGUUGUCUAUUGAGGUUACCUAUGGUUUGUAAUCAAGUAAUGUCAUUGGCAUAUAGAAAAAUACUUAUUUUAGAUAUCCUAUAAUGGGAAGGUAUGAAUCUAUUUCAUUUAAGUAGGAGCUCAAUUUGUUGUUGUUGUUUUUGCUUCUGUUUUUUGAGACAGAGUCUGGCUCUGUCGUCCAGGCUGGAGUGCAGUGGCACGAUCUUGGCUCACUGCAACUUCCGUCUUCCGGGUUCAAGCGAUUCCCAGCUAAUUUUUUUGUAAUUUUAGUAGAGAUGGGGGUUUUACCAUGUUGGCCAAGCUGGUCUCGAACUCCGGACCUCAAGUGAUCCACCCCCGUCAGCCUCCCAAAGUGUUGGAAUUAUAGGCCUAAGCCACCAUGCCUGGCCAAUACCAAUGAAUUUUAAUCUAACAGCAUACAAAACAUGCGAGAUACAAUUUCAGAUCCCACAUCAUAGCAAACCCUUAAGGUACUACCACUCAUUGGGUUUUAAUACAGCAUCACAGAAAAAAUACCCAUAAUUAUCUGAAAAGAGUAUUAAAAUACUCUAUUUUCAGCUGUAUAUCUGUAUGAAAGUAGAUAUUCUUCACAAUCUUAAACUAAAAUAACAUAUCCCAACAGAUGGAACGUAGAAACAUUUGUUCCAGAUGUCUUGAAGAGAUUUGCAAAAAUGUUAAACAAUGUCUUUCAGAAACAUUUUUUGGAAAAUAAUUAUUUUUCAUAAUGAGGUGUCAUUUAUAUAAACAUGUAAUGGGUUUUAUUAUUUUAUGUUUAAUAAAUAAAUACACAAAUAUGUUGAAAA